rnacentral:lncRNA from 1 species
AGGGUUUGGUUAGGAUUUGAUUUAGGGUUAGAGUUUAGGAUUUGAUUAAGGUUUGAUUUAGGAUUAGGGUUAGAGUUUAGGAUUUGGUUAAGAUUUGAUUUAGGAUUAGGAUUUGGUUAGGAUUUGAUUUAGAAUUAAGUUUUGGUUAGGAUUUGAUUUAGAAUUAGGAUUUGAUUAGGAUUUGAUUUAGGAUUAGGAUUUGAUUUAGGAUUAGGAUUUGAUUUAGGAUUAAGGUUUAGUUAGGGUUUGAUCAAGAUUUGAUUUGGAUUUAGGGUUUUAUUUGAGUUUAUUUAGGAUUUAGGAUUUAGUUAGUUUUUGGCCUAAAAUUUGAAUGAAGUAAGAUUUCAACUAGGAUUAAAUUAAGAUUGAAUUGAGAUGUAUUUGAGAUAUGUUUAUAAUCAUUCUAAUAUUUCUUUAAGAUUUCUUAUUGUUUCUUUGAAAUUCUUUUGAGAUUUCUCUGAAUUUGAUUAAAGCUUGUUUAGCAUUGUUAGUAUUCUAUUAAAAUUAAGAUUUUGUUGUUGCAAUUUCCAUUCUACUCCCACAGUCAGGUGUCUGAAGCAUUCUCAAGCAAGAUUUUAUGUAUUACAACAACAUAUUUAUUUAGAUUUGAUUUCAA